rfam:Triticum aestivum genome assembly, contig: Triticum_aestivum_CS42_TGACv1_scaffold_569104_7AS
AUCAUAUUACCUCCGUCCCAAAAAGGUUGUUUUAGAUUUAUAGAUACGGAUGUAUCUAGACACGUUAGUGUCUAGAUACAUCCGUAUCUUCACAAAUCUAAGACAAGCUUUUUGAGAGGGAGGGAGUACUUA